rnacentral:rRNA from 1 species
ACGGAGGGCGCAAGCGUUGUUCGGAAUUACUGGGCGUAAAGCGCGUGUAGGCGGUCUUGCAAGUCGGAUGUGAAAUCCCCGGGCUCAACCCGGGAACUGCAUCCGAAACUGCUGGGCUAGAGUUCCGGAGAGGAAGGCAGAAUUCCCAAUGUAGGGGUGAAAUCCGUAGAUAUUGGGAGGAAUACCAGUGGCGAAGGCGGCCUUCUGGACGGUGACUGACGCUGAGACGCGAAAGCGUGGGGAGCAAACAGGA